GGUGGCUUAGUUGUAGAGCACUUGCCUCGCAUGCAUGAAGCCAUAGGUUCGAUUCCUCAGCACCA
rnacentral:tRNA from 1 species